GACGAACGCUGGCGGCGUGCCUAAUACAUGCAAGUAGAACGCUGAAGGAGGAGCUUGCUUCUCUGGAUGAGUUGCGAACGGGUGAGUAACGCGUAGGUAACCUGCCUGGUAGCGGGGGAUAACUAUUGGAAACGAUAGCUAAUACCGCAUAAGAGUAGAUGUUGCAUGACAUUUGCUUAAAAGGUGCAAUUGCAUCACUACCAGAUGGCCCUGCGUUGUAUUAGCUAGUUGGUGGGGUAACGGCUCACCAAGGCGACGAUACAUAGCCGACCUGAGAGGGUGAUAGGCAACACUGGGACUGAGACACGGCCCAGACGCCUACGGGAGGCAGCAGUAGGGAAUCUUCGGCAAUGGACGGAAGUCUGACCGAGCAACGCCGCGUGAGUGAAGAAGGUUUUCGGAUCGUAAAGCUCUGUUGUAAGAGAAGAACGAGUGUGAGAGUGGAAAGUUCACACUGUGACGGUAUCUUACCAGAAAGGGACGGCUAACUACGUG
rnacentral:rRNA from 1 species